AAUCUGUGAGGCAGGAAGCCAGCUAGUAGGACUUUCACUUUGUUGGGAGUUCCUAUUUCCUUUUUUUCCUCUUUGCCCAAUAAAUUCAAUUUUUCUCACCCUUCAAAGUGCCUGUGAGCCUAAUCUCUCCUGGCUAUGUGACAAGGACCCCGUUUUUAGCUGAACUAAGGAGAAAGUCCUACAACAUAACUAGAUGAGGUUACGGCAGGCACUAAAUCUGCCCCGAGUGCUUGACUCAGCCUCACUUGAUCCGCUGCAACAGCCUCCCCUCUGGACUGAGAUGGUGAGCAUCAGCCAAGGCAGGACUCGGCACACGGUGCAGUCAGCAGCCUCUCCAGGGACAUGCCAAGGUUUCCAGGAGGCCAGUCUUUGCUGGAAAUUUCUCAGUGACCACUUUUCCCCCUUUCUUUCUUUCUUUUCUUUCUUUCUUUUUUUUUUUUUUUUUUUGAGGUGGAGUCUCACUCUGUUGCCCAGGCUGGAAUGCAGUGGCGUGAUCUCGGCUCACUGCAACCUCCACCUCCCUGGUUCGAGCAAUUCCCCUGCCUCAGCCUCCGGAGUAGCUGGGAUUACAGGCGCACGCCACCACGCACAGCUAAUUUUUUUUUUUUUUUUUUUGUAUUUUUAGUAGAGACAGGGUUUUGCCACGUUGGCCAGACUGGUCUCAAACUCCUGACCUCAGGCUAACUGCCUGCCUCGGCCUCCCAAAGUGCUGGGAUUACAGGCGUGAGCCACCGUGCCUGGCCUUCCCCCUUUCUUUACCUGCCUUCCUGUUGGAUGGAUACAUGGCUAUUUUCUUACUGUUAGAGACACAUUCUCUCUCUCUCUCUCUCUCUCUCUCUCUCUCUCUCUGUCCAUCUCUCCUCUCCCUUUGUCUCUCUCAUUAAAGCAAAUAACAUAGCAGGAGGAAUGGGAAAAGUAGCAAAUCCCAGGCUAGUCUCAUCAUUUCUGGGCUGAAAUGGAACCACUUGUGGUGUGUGGAAUCGUGGCAUCCGGCAUGCCACAUUCCCUGCUCCCUGUUGUCCUGCCCUGUCUGUCUGCUACAAUCACCUGGAGCCCCUCCCUCAACCAAGACAUCAACAACAGAAACAAAACUGCUUCCUCUGACCAGCAGGAAAUUUCCAGAUGUCAUGUGUGGCGAGGCAGCCUAGAGAGAGGUCCCUAUGGUGAGAAACUGGGGCCCCGCUAACAGCCACCUAAGUGAGCUUGGAAGUGGAUCCUCUAGCACCUUAGGACUGCAGCCCUGGCCAGUAGUUUGACUGUCUCCUCAUGAGAGAACCUAUGCCAGAAUCACCAACUAAGCCUUUCCCAAAUUCCUGACCCACAGAAACUGUGAACUGGUAAAUCUUUGCUGUUCUAAGUGACUAUAUGUCAGGGUAAUUUGUUACACAGCCUAGAAAACUCAUAUAGUACCUGUGUGGUUGUUGCUUUUUUUUUUUGUUGAAACGGAGUCUCACUCUGUUGCCAGGCUGGAGUGCAGUGGCGUGAUCUUGGCUCACUGCAACCUCCACCUCCCGGGUUCAAGUGAUUCUCCUGCCUCAGCCUCCCGAGUAGCUGGCAUUACAGGCACCUACCACCACACCCAGCUAAUUUUUGUAUUUUUAGUACAGACGGGAUUUCACCAUGGUGGCCAGGAUGGUCUUAAUCUCUUGACCUCGUGAUCUGCCCAUCUCAGCCUCCCAAAGUGCUGGGAUUACAGGCGUGAGCUGCUGUGCUUGGCCAAUUGUUGCUGUUUUUAAAGCUCUGGGGCAAUUUUUGCCUCAUAGGAAACAUCAUAUAAUUACAUGUAAAUACAUCCAUAACUGGGAGAUUAGGGUAGGGGAAGGCAGCCCUUCCCAGGUAGCCCUUGACCAGAUAGUCAAGUCUUGGCUGUUCCAAAAUCAAAGGCUUCUGUUUUCUUUA
rnacentral:lncRNA from 10 species